rnacentral:rRNA from 1 species
UACGAACCGAGCGAACGUUGUUCGGAAUCACUGGGCUUAAAGGGCGCGUAGGCGGGCUGUCAAGUUUGGGGUGAAAUCCCGCGGCUCAACCGUGGAACUGCCUCAAAUACUGACGGUCUCGAGGGGGGUAGGGGCGAGCGGAACUGAUGGUGGAGCGGUGAAAUGCGUUGAUAUCAUCAGGAACUCCGGUGGCGAAGGCGGCUCGCUGGACCUCUUCUGACGCUGAGGCGCGAAAGCUAGGGGAGCAAACGGG